AAGUCGUAACAAGGUUUCCGUAGGUGAACCUGCGGAAGGAUCAUUAACACGAAACUCCACGUUUCAUACCAACCUGUGGUCUUGUAAACUUCUCAAAAAAAGUUCUUUUGUUUUUUGGGAAGAAGAAGCAAUUUUUCUUUCCAGAAAGCGGGAGGCUUUUUUUCUUAUCAAAACAAAACCCCUUGUAUCAUCUAUUGACUGAACCAUUGGAAGCUUUUGAGUACCGUCACAGGCGCUCGCUUCUUGAUAUUACGAAACUCUGAACAACUCUAAGCAACGGAUAUCUUGGUUCUC
rnacentral:misc_RNA from 1 species